AUUACCUCCCACCCUCUGUCCCAGUUUUUAACACUUGUUAUCUGGUCACCCUAAGCAAGGCCAACUGGGUUGCGCAUGGGAGAAAAUUCCAUGCCUGCCUGAGGCUUGCGCUUUGGGGGAGCAAUGCCCGCUUAUACCCCUCCAAACUACGCCCAUGUGUACAAACUACACCAUCAUGCGGCAUUGUGGUAUUAUUUAUAACCUAUACAUGCCCUUAAAGGAAAACAUUUGACAAUGUCUGUGCUGUUACUUUUGCAGACUGAGUAUUUUAACCUUAUGGCUCUAAAACACCUGCAAGGAUUUUAAACUAGAUUUCAGGAGAGCAGUUCUCCUUUUCCACCACCAGGUGUCUCUCAAAUUGUUCUCCUCCUCCAGGCUGCCAGCUGUACAGGAGGAGGUGCCCUACACUCUGGUCUAGACUGGGGUCUAGAGCUGGCCUGGUGGGAUUUGAGUUUGUUUACCAGCUGUAGUUGGUUUAGUCUCUUGAGAGGCCUCGGAGACAUGUAGGAGGUCAACAGCUGUCUUGCAGAGCGUGGAUAGUACACAGCACACUGGUGAUUAGUCACUGUGGUUACCUGCCGGACACGGUUUCAUUUUAAUGAGCAAAUGUCACGGGGAAGGGGGGGGGGAGGUGGAAGCUGGAGAUUUUAGGUAAGCUCCCCGUGCGCCACUCGUGGCAUUACAGUCAUUUCCACAGCAACAAGCUGCAAUGCCGCACACAGGAUAGUUCGGUAUUCAGUAAAAUAUACAGGGGAAAUCGUCCUGCAUCAGUACAAUGGGGAUCCUGUAAAAAAUGCAUAUGCACCCAUUAAACUUUGAGAACUCUAGGUUUGCUCUCCUCUAGGUUUUUAUGUGGCACCUGUCAUGGCAGUGUCUGAGCAGGCAGGCGGUUGUGGGCACAAGCCAUCUCGCUGUGCAGCGCAUGCCAACGCAUGCACUCGCUCGGUGCACUGAAAUGUGGGGCUCUGCAGGUGCAUGCCUCACACCGACAUCUGCAAAUGCUGCCUACAAGGUGCCCCAAAGGGUCUGGCACUAGAAUGUUUUUCAGUUUCCAUGCUUAGUGUCUCCUUAAAGGGAAUGCCGUCAGCUUAAUAACACUUCUCACUUCUGUCUGCACAGCUUUACGUACCCUUAGUCCGAGGCAAGACUUCUGGCUCCCAGAAAUGAUCAUGGUUCGAAGGACCCUGGUUUCCCAGUACUUGGUGCAUUCAACAGCACUUGGGGGCAGAUGGGAGAGGUUGGGUGCUCAGCACUUUUGAAAAUCUGUCCCUAUGAUUUAGGCACUUAUAAGCGAUGCUGAGUGCUGUUGAGAAAUACUGGCCAUAUUCGUGUAUAGUCAGCUUCACGCUUUUCCCCAGUUACUUGUGCAGGUCUGUCACUCAGUGCCAGGAGAGAGGAAUGCAGUGUAAAGAACAGGGAGAUGUAUAGGCAGGUGUAGCAUCUGGACAUACUGCUAGCUUGCGUUUUGAAAGGGAUACAACUUCAUGUUGGACCUUUUAUCACACCGAACCCCAGCAGCUUGUGCAACAACAUCCUGUUUUGAAAGGAAAAAAUUCGGAGCUGUGGCUUUGUAUUUGAAGAGAAGCUUUAGGCAGUGUCUACACUGCCACUUUCAGCGCUAAAAUUUGUCAUUCUGGGGUGUGAAAAAACACCCCCACGAACGACCAAAGUUUAGCGCUCAAAACACCAAUAUAGAUACUGCCUCGUUCAGGGUGGUUAUUUUUUAUCACUGGGAAAGCUCUCACCCAGUGACAAAGUGUGACUACACUGCCCACGUCACAGCGCUGCUGCGGCUACACUGUAACGUGGGCAGGAUAGACCUAGCCUUAGCUGUAACCUUACCUUCCUGGGACAUAUGUGUGUGUGUCUUAGGGCUUGUCUGCACUGGCAAGUUUAUGCCCAACAAGUUAUACCACGUUUAUUAAAGUGCUGGAAUUAAACCGCUGUUGCAUGUCCACACUGUGGGGUAGGAGGCAGAAUGUGUGACAGGGAGAGAGAGAGAGAGAGUGUGUGUAUGUGGAGGGGGAGAGGAGAACGUGUGUUUUGGGGACAGUGUGUCAGCACGAGCAUUCCACAUUAACCGUUUGCUUUGUGUCCCAGAGCAGAUCAGCACAGCACACAAGGGCUGUCAGAAAUGAAACUUUGAAAGGGGAGGGGCACAUGUCUCCAGGGCAGUCGAGUUCAAAACAAUGAGCAGAGGGGCCACUUGAGGGAUUAUGGGACACUUCCGGAGGCCAAUUGAUUGCUUUCUGCACUAUCAUGUGUUUACACUGUCAAUACAGUGCUGGAGCCUCUGCGCUUGAAGGGAAGCCCAUCCAAAUUUCUUUCCUGAGGAGUGACUUCUUGGAAAGAUGACGAUGCUCAUCAGAGGAUCUGUGCAGCCUUCUGUGUGGCAGCUAGAGCCACGUGCAGGUUCCCCUGUUUAUGCACCCAAGGAUCGCAUGAUCUCUUCUGACCGCAGUGUUGUACUAAGAGCUCAUAUUCAGCCGAUUAUCCACCAUGACCCCCAAAUCUCUCUCCGAGUCACUGCUUUCCAGGGGAGAGGCCCCCAUUGUACACGCUGGCGAAGAGAGGUAAUGGAGAACAGGACCACACCCGGCUUGUUAGGCAAUCUGCAGCCCACACGCUUGGGAGGAGCUCCCCAUAAACAUCCAUAAAGCUACCUCACUAUCCAUCUUCAAAUCCCGUCUCAAAACCCUCCUCCGCCAUGGCGCCAACAAAAAUCUUGACAGUGGUUAGGCUGCUGGUGUGGUGAGACCACAGCCCAUCAUGCUGACCAGUAUUGUCUCAGUGUUUCCUUUUGCGCCUCCAUUUGUCCGUCUGUCUGGAUCUGUUGUUUCAUCUUCUGCCUAGAUUAGGGGUGGGCAAUCUUUGGCCUGUGGGCUGGAUCCAGCCCGCCAGCUGUUUUAAUCCGGCCCACAAGCUCCCACUGGGGAGUGGGGUCUGGGGCUUGCCCCGCUCCAGCUGGAGAGCAGGGUCUGGGGCCUCUCCAUGUGGCUCCCAGAAGCAGCAAAAUGGCCCGCUUCCGGCUCCUACCCAUAGAGGCAGCCAGGGAACUCCACUCUACACACUGCCCACGCCCCAAAUGCCACCCCCAAAGCUCUCAUUGGCCGAGAAUUGCGGCCAAUGGGAGCUGCAGGGGGGUGCCUGCGGACAGGGCAGCAUGCAGAAACGCCUGGCCGUGCCUCCUCAUAGGAGCCGGAGAAGGGAUAUGCCGUUGCUUCCUGGAGCCGCUUGAGGUAAGCACCACCCAGAGCCUGUACCUCUGAACCUCCCAUCGCGCCCCAACCCCCUGCUCCAGCCCUGAUCCCCCUCCCACCCUCCAAACCCUUUGAUCCCAGACCGGAGCACCCUCUUGCACCCCAAACCUCUCAUCCCCAGCCCCACCCCAGAGCCGGCACCCCCAGCCAGAGCCCUCACCUCCCCCACCCCAAACCCCUGCCCCAGCCCUGAUCCCCCUUCUGCCCUCCAAACCCCUCGGUCCCAGCCAGGAGCACCCUCCUACACCCCAAACUCCUCAUCCCCAGCUGGAGCCCUCACCCGCCCUUGCACCCCUGCCCAGAGUCCCCUCCUGCACCCUGAACUCCUCAUUUGUGGCCCUACCCCGGAGCCCGCACCCCCCAACCAGAGCCCUCACCCACUCCCGCACCCCAGCCCCAAUUUUGUGAGCAUUCAUGGCCCGCCCUACAAUUUCUAUGCCCAGAUGUGGCCCUUGGGGCAAAAAGUCUGCCCACCGCUGGCCUAGACUGUAGGCUCUUUAGGGCAGGGACCAUCUUUUGGUUCUGUGCGUGUGCAGUGCCUAGCACAAAUGUGCCCUGGUCCAUGACUGAAACUCCUAGGUGAUACCACAACACAGAUAAUAAAUAAUAAUCAGUGAUGUGGUCUACGGGCCAGAGCGGGUCACAAGGCCAAGGAGAAUCAGCCCCUCUGUGUUUCAGGAAAGAUGAACUUCAUCCACUGCAUAAUUCCCCCCAUUCAAAUGUGUCUGCUCCUACCAGAGAUAAUCUUCAUGGGGGGAUAUACAGGGAUAGCACAGAGAGGGUCUGCAGCCAGCUAGCUGAAACAGGGGGCAAAAUAAGGAGGUGAAGCAGGAUUAAAGAUUUGUCCAGUUGUGGGGUGGAGUCCGGGGAAAAACCCCCUCAGAGUAGUUGACCCUAACAAGGGUGCCUUGUGUGAAUGACUCCAUCUGCCCCAGUUGUGGAAAACUGGAAAGUACCUCUAACAAAUGCUCACAUGGCCCUUCUCACAUGUCCAGUGUGACGAGCGCAGCAAAAAGGGAAAUGAAUCUCUCCGCAGCUAUCAAAAACCAAGAGGAAGCUCUUGUUGCUUGUAACCGUGGGUGGGAGAUCAGCGGCUCACGAGGGGACAAGUCACAUACACCAAUUCAGACUUUAUGGGGCAGAUCUUCUGCUAGUGCAAACUGAUGAGCACCAUUCACCUCUGCGGAACUAAGCCGAUCUAUACCAGCGGAGAAUCCGACCUUAUAUCUGCCCAUUUAAUACAACAAUUAUAUCAGAGCAGUGACUUGUGCACUUUGUAUUUUACUUCUCCGUGUAACUGAAACCACGGGCUAAAUUUGUCUGUUUCACCUUUUAACAAUUUCAGAUGCACCCUACCUCAUUCCCGUUUUCUUUUCCUCGCGUGUAACAUAACAUGAAAAAGAUACCAGCAGUUACUUACAGUAGGACGAUUUGCUUCAUAGCAGGUUGGUGUAGUAUAGUUUACCUUCACACACGGUUGUUUCUUACUGCUUGUUCCAGUUUUGCAUUAGGCCUGUCUACAUCUGAAAAUUAGAUGGACCUAAUGUCAUCACUCACAUCUGUAAACAUUUUGUGCCCUUUAUGUGACACAGUUAAGUUGAUCUAAGCCCCCACUGUAGAUGCAGCAAGGUCAAUGGAAUAAUUCUACCAUUGACCUAGAUACCACCUCUCAGAGAGAUGGGUUAAUGACACUGAUGGAAACCCCCCUUCUGUCGAUGUAGGACGCAGCUACACAACAGCGCAGUAGCUGAGCCUCUGUAACCACGGUAGUGUAGCCAGACCCUUAGUUUACAUGUCACUAGUAGCACCGACAGCAUGUGACAAGGUUACAUUGUGGGUAGAGCAGAGAACAAUGAGUCAGGACUACUGGGCUCUCUUCUUGGUGCUGCACCUUCCUGAGUGACUUUUGGACAAGUUAUUUCACUGCAUUGUGUCUCCAGUUUCCAUCCCCCUGUACAAGGAGGAUAACAGCCUUCAGUACCUUACAGGGGUCUGCUUGCAAAAAUUACAUUUUGCAGAAGUGCUUUGAGAUUCUCAGAGAAAAGUACCAUGUUAUAAAACCAAGUCAGGAGGGCAAUAACCGAGAGGAAGUGGACGCCUCCUGGGAAUAAUCUCUGCUGUCCACACAGACCUGCACUUAAGGAAUGGUGUCCACUCAAAUUCAGUCCCAAUGCUAAGGCCAAGAAAAAUAUUUCCAUGAUUUUCUGUUGUUUUUAAGGUACAGCAGAAAGUUGUUAGUACACAAUGAGAUCUUUCAUUCCCCUGCAGUGUUCAAGGAGGAGUGAAAUGUUUCUACAAUUUAUUUUUAAUCCCAGUAAAAAUUCACCUACACUUUUUGUAAGCUCAAACAUCAAAGCAGGAACAAUCUGAGAGUGACACUGACUAAAAUCACUAAAAACAAGAGUGAUGCUGGCUGCUCCUUGGACAUGCUGACAGAUAUGCAAACAACCCAUGAAGAACUUAGUACCGUUCUGACUGGACUUCCUCUGCUCCUUCUAAGGCCACGUCUACAAGUAUAGCGCUGUAGCCGCGCAGCUGUACCAAUGCACUGCAGUGCGUCUGGUGAAGGUGUUCUAUGCCGAUGUGAUGCUGUGUAUAAGAAAGGAGACCAUUUCUAUCACUGGUGUUACCAUUCUCCCACAAUUGCCAUGGAUCUUAUACAGCUUGUAUCAUGUAAGGUGUCAGUGGAAAAGCUGCUUCAGAAACAGACUUCAAAGAGAAACUGCGGAGCUACAAUUCAUUUGCAAAUUUAACAGAGUUAAUUUGGGCUUGAAUAGGGACUGGGAGUGGCUGGCUCACGACAAAAGCAAUUUCCCCUCUCUUGGCAUUGACACCUCCUCAUCAAUUAUUGGGAGUGGACCAUGUCCACCCUGACUGAAUUGGCCUUGUCAUCACUGAUUCUCCACUUGUAAGGUAACUCCCUUCUCUUCAUGUGCCAGUAUAUUUAUGCCUGUUCUGUAAAUUUCACUCCAGGCAUCUGAAGAAGUGGGUUUUUUACCUACGAAAGCUUAUGCCCAAAUAAAUCUGUUAGUCCUUAAGGCGACACUGGACGCCUUGGUUUUUUUGUAGAUACAGACUAACACGGCUACCCCUCUGAUAAGUGGAAAAGUUAUGAUUUGCUAAGUAUGAUUAUCUCUUUAUAUGCAUGUAUCACUUUGUAUCUGAAGUUAUGAAUAUUGGCUGUGUACUUGGAUCUUACACAUGUGUUGUGUUGCUGGCCGACCCAACCCCACCCCGAUAGAAUUUACAUCACGGCUAGACAGCUAUGUGUGGAUGGCCCAUCAAGGACACACAGCUGUCACAAUGGGCCAUUGAAGAAACUCAUCCCCUCCAGAUAGUUCUUCCUGAGGAUGCUUCAGACAGCCAGGGGCCAAUGGCCACCCCCCUGAGUCAGCAAACUGUGUAAGGACAUGUGAUGUGCUCAUGUGACUCUGGACUCCAGCUUGGGUCAGUAACUUUCCACAACCAGGGGCUCUGGGCUUUGUUUGGGACAGUAAAAUUCCAAGCACAUGACAGAGGAUAUAAAAGAUCCCUGAGUCAUCUCCAUUUUCUCUUCAUUUCCUGCUUCAUUUCUCUGGACUGGAUUUCUAACAAGGAAGCUCUGAAGAAGUAUUGAUGACCCCCAAUCUGUUUGGGUGAUUCCAGAGAUUCUUUUGCAAACCAGCAGUUUAUUCCAUCUGUGCUACAAACUUAAUAUAAGGACUUUGCAAUCACUUGUAGGUAUAUGGUUCCUUAACCAUUUGUAACUCUAUUCUUUUCUUUUAUUAAUAAAUCUUUCGAUAGUUUACUAAG